rnacentral:rRNA from 1 species
UACAGAGGGUGCUAGCGUUGUUCGGAAUGACUGGGCGUAAAGGGCGCGUAGGCGGUUUAUCAAGUCAGAUGUGAAAGCCCCGGGCUUAACCUGGGAACUGCAUUUGAUACUGGUUGACUGGAGUACGAGAGAGGAAAGUGGAAUUCCUAGUGUAGAGGUGAAAUUCGUAGAUAUUAGGAGGAACACCAGAGGCGAAGGCGGCUUUCUGGCUCGUAACUGACGCUGAGGCGCGAAAGCGUGGGGAGCAAACAGG